GAAGGUUUGCCCCUCAGUGGGAAGAAAGCUUCCAACUCCCAGCGGUUCCAGCAGAAGUCCUGGGGCUGGAGAGCUGUUCCUGAGUUGCCUGUGAUCACAUACCACACCUGAUGGCAUCACUGUAUCCAGGCUCCAGGUGCAUAGAAUGUUGUGAGGUCAUGACUGCCAGCAUUAUGACCAGUCUUGGAACUAGGAUUGGGGUGGGGUUCAUCCCACCCAGACCACAGAGACUGAAAAUAAGAAAGGGGUGAGGCCUAAGGGACAAUCAGGAUGUUUUUCAGAGAGAAGUGUGGAUGCUGGACAGGAAGAACCACAGAUACCAGAUACGGACAAAACCUGAAAAUCUCUAAUCUGCAUGUGUUCAGCUGCGUAUCUUCUGGAUACGGAAGGAUCACACUGCACAGAGUGCUGGACUUGCAGGAGCCCCGCUUCUCAACCUCCAUCGCUUUAUGAAUGAAUUCACCAGAAAGAAAAGGAAGAAUCAACACUUUCAGAGAUGGAGCCUGUUGAGCCACAGUACCAACUAGUCAAUGCUGAAUCGACUUCUCCCUUUCUACAUUGCCUGAGAGAAGUCAUUGGGGAAUACUCUGUACACGAAUUUUCACUGUUGGGGAAAACAGAGAGUCAAGGGAUUGGAUUGUGGAUUGCAUUGGUGGUUUUCCUCAGUUUCCUCAUCUUCUCCACAAGUUUCUACAUAUCGAAUGCAGAGCAGCCCUUCUUCAAAGGACCUCCUACGGAAGCUGCUAAGGAACUCAGUCUGUAGCUCUGCGUGGAGCCAUGUGUAAACACUGAACUGAGACCUGCCACCUCCUACUACCUAAGGGCCCAUUUUCAUCUGAUAUCAUCCCCCAGAAACAAACUCAUGAUGACUUCCAUGUUUUUUUUAGAUUAGAUACAUGGAGAAUUUUCCUUUCCCUUAGAAUUAAAAUCCUGCAUUCUAAUUUUCAGUAAGCUUUUUU
rnacentral:lncRNA from 1 species